rnacentral:misc_RNA from 1 species
UUCAGUUCAGCGCCGUCUCCCUCACCGAUCAAACCGGACAAACGUCAAACAUUUUUUUCUGUAUAUAUUUUUUUAUUUAAAAUACGUUCUUUUGACACGUUCUGUCCUGACAAAAAUUUAAAUCAUGAUAAUAAAAUAGAAUAUAAAUUAGUAAACUAGUUGAAAAAUUCAAUUGGUUUUUACAGCAUUGUAGUGGAUCUAAUGAAUAGUUUUCUUCACUCGGACGAAAGUUUAUUGAUUGACUGGGGGUAUGUUGUGUUCGUGUUUUGAUAAAAGGUAGAAGGGGAUAAUUAAUUCAAGUUCGAUCGUACAGAUAUGAUCGAAUUUCAGAGUCCCUUCAUACACGUAAUUGCUUCGUAAGGUACUAGCAAAUGAAUUGAUACGAAACAUUACUAUGGAUCACGUGCAGGAUCCAUCAAUCCCUAAGAACGGAGCUUCCAUUGAAUUGUCUGAAACUAAUCAAAAUAGACUUCUCAACGCAAGGCAGAGCAGGUUGACAAAGGACAUAAUCGACGCAGCACCCACCGACCGUGAAAUUCCAAGGUUUUUGCAAGAUGAUUUGGAAGAAGUGCUCGGUAUUUCUCAUUCGGAUAAACCUUCCAGCUUUCAAUCGAAAGGAGUACAAACUCGGAUCAGUGGAGUUCGAACGAUUUCCAACAUUUUGUACACCAAUGAUUUUGGGCAUCCGGUGACGGUGAUGAAUCCUUCGAUGACUCCUAGAGAUCCAUCCUCGUGUAUCUCCUACAGUUCGGAACUGAUUUUAACACGAUCUCAUUUGUACAACGUCCAUUGUAACUAUGAAAAAUUGAAAUCACGUUUUCACAAGUUGCAUCAAGAUUAUUACAAGCUGUUGCGAGUUACCGGUGAAUUGACAAUGGCAUUGGAUAAUUCAGCCCGUGGUCACCACGUCGACUUGCCCAGCACACUCAAAUCUUGCAUGAAUAUUUAUCCUGAUCUCUUUCAUAACAAUGUUCGUGACGAUAAUACAGAGAUAAAAUCUAUAAAAUCAGAGAUCGAAUUGCAGCAGCACGAUCUAACAGCAUCGAAGCAGCCAAUCCUCGGAAUUGCGCCAGUUUCAUCGAAACAAUUGGAUUUCAAAAAAAUAAAGCUGCAUCUCAUCAACGCCAACGUCAAAACGAAAUUAUUGCUCCUACAGGCUCUACGAUGGAAAAUAACUUUGAGUCAACCAGCUGAGAGGGACGAAGCAGUCCACGAAUAUACGAGCAGUGAUUUGAUGGGAAUUCAUGGGCAAAUUGCGAACGACAGUGGGAAAUCAAUUUUGCCUUAUUUGCUUAUUCCUCUCGAUGUUGUUUUGCCCCAUCCACUGCAACAGUCUACGGCAAGGUUGCUCAACACCCUGGCUUCGCUUCGCUGUGGUCGAGAUUAUUUAUCAGUUGGUCCUGCGGUGUUGAAUGUGGUAAUUCAGUGUUUAGACACCGCAAAAGCUGAGACCGUUGACGCGUUUACGUGCGAUAUGAUUCUCGCCAUGUUACAAAAAAUGUCUCUCCGCCGGCAGCAAAGAUUGUACAUGAUUUCAAUGGGCCUCGUCGAAUGGCUGAUUUAUCAUCUGCGAGCCGAGAGUAAAAGUAUUGGAACUUACAGGCUCGAAUACACGACUGCACUUUUAAUGAAUUUGUCGUUGCAUCGUGAGGCCCAAGUGCGAGCUUCGACCAUGACUACUCUCGUUCUUUCCACUUUGACUGAACUUUUGUCUUCGUCCCACGUACCUGCUCUACCUUACAUCAACGGAACUUUGAACAAUUUCCUUGCGAAUCGAACGAUCAACGAGGAAGCCAAAAAAAUGGGUCUCGAUGCCGUGCUCGAGUACCACAGGAAACGUAACUCGGGGGAAAUUCGACGACAUUUGGAUUACAUUUUGAACAGACUGAGGCGUCAUUCCGAGGAUUCUAUCGAGGACAAUAACGUAAUGGAGGAUGACGACAAAGAACAAUUGGACGUUUUAGAAAACGAAUUGGACGAUUUGGAUCCGGUUAAAGUACACGCUGGCGAAUUAUUCGGAGAAGCUUUGCUCGCAACUUGUUAUUCAGUCUCUCCCAAUAUCACGAAUGUUCUAUCCACACGCGACGAUCAUCUUAUUACGAGCUUAUCGAGAUUGUCGAACGGUGAACUUCCAGAAUCUAGUCAUCCGCAGUCUGACGAAGUUUCCAAAGCAUCUUUCGAGUCUUCAACUCAGGAGAAAAUCAUGUCGCCGAGCAUGCAUUUGACGAGAAUGACUCCAGCGAGUCGAAAUUUAACGCGCAAAAACACGAAGCCCUUGAAAGUCGUUGAGUGUUCUGAGAAACUUGAGAAUAUGAAAGAUCAAUCGGAAAUGACGGUGGACCAGAGCGUAGAAACUAUUUACGGUUACGAAAAUUCUUCGGAAUCCGAAAUGGAUGUUGGUACCGAAGAUUCACGUAUUUCCCACAGCACUCGAGCCAGUUCUGUCCAUUCUUAUAUGAACGAGCGAUUCAAGGAUGGCGAAGCGACUGCAGUCAAAUCCGCGACGACUUGGAUUUCUGCCUAUGAAAACAGCCCGGAAGUCGACGAUAAGACGAGCAGUAUAGCUUCGCUGUGAGUGUCCAAAUUUUUCAUUGCGCUAGUCCUUAUUUUUGGUUUCGUUGCUGCAUGGAUUUGCAAUAAACUGUUGACUGGUGUCUGGCUCAAAAUUUCAGCGCUUGUUUUAAGUGCCGAAAAGUCUGGAGUGAGCGAUACAAACGAAGAAUCAAAAUUGAGGGAAAAAGUUGAGCAGAAUGACGAAGACGACGCUUUCGUUUCGAAGCCUCGGAUCACAAGGACUCCACCGCAUUCAGCUGUGAUAAGAAA